rnacentral:rRNA from 1 species
UACGUAGGGAGCAAGCGUUGUCCGGAAUCAUUGGGCGUAAAGCGCGCGUAGGUGGCCUCAUAAGUCCGCUGUGAAAGUCAAAGGCUCAACCUUUGAAAGCCGGUGGAUACUGUGAGGCUAGAGUACGGAAGAGGCGAAUGGAAUUCCUGGUGUAGCGGUGGAAUGCGCAGAUAUCAGGAGGAACACCAAUAGCGAAGGCAGCUCGCUGGGACGUUACUGACACUGAGGCGCGAAAGCGUGGGGAGCGAACAGG